rfam:Populus trichocarpa scaffold_16_contig_20, whole genome shotgun sequence.
UAGUUUGUUUGAGACAAAUCUAUAUUUAAUUAUGGUAGAUCCCCACCCGACUAUUUAAAAUCUUCAGUUUGCUACAUUUAAAAAAAAGACAAUGUAUCUUUUUUUAUGGAUAAU